rnacentral:rRNA from 1 species
CUACGGAGGGUGCAAGCGUUAUUCGGAAUCACUGGGCGUAAAGGGUGCGUAGGCGGUUUGAUAAGUCUGAUGUGAAAUCCUAUGGCUCAACCAUAGAACUGCAUUGGAAACUGUCAGACUAGAAUACUGAAGGAGCAGAUGGAAUUAGUGGUGUAGGGGUAAAAUCCGUAGAUAUCACUAGGAAUACCGAAAGCGAAAGCGAUCUGCUGGGAAGUUAUUGACGCUGAGGCACGAAAGCGUGGGGAGCAAACGGAUUAGAUACCCGCGUAGUCC